CAUCCUUGCCUGCUCAGGUGUC
rnacentral:siRNA from 1 species